CAGCAGCCACGGUAAUACGUAGGGUGCAAGCGUUAAUCGGAAUUACUGGGCGUAAAGCGUGCGCAGGCGGUUAUAUAAGACAGAUGUGAAAUCCCCGGGCUCAACCUGGGAACUGCAUUUGUGACUGUAUAGCUAGAGUACGGCAGAGGGGGAUGGAAUUCCGCGUGUAGCAGUGAAAUGCGUAGAUAUGCGGAGGAACACUGAUGGCGAAGGCAAUCCCCUGGGCCUGUACUGACGCUCAUGCACGAAAGCGUGGGGAGCAAACAGGAUUAGAUACCCCGGUAGUCCCUGUCUCUUAUAC
rnacentral:rRNA from 1 species